rnacentral:lncRNA from 1 species
CCGUCAGGGCUCCCAGAACCCAGCCUCGAUCAGCGUCCUGGACUUCCACUGAGAGCUCCUGACUGAAAGAGACAACGGGGAGAAUAACAGCAGAUCGUUCCAAGGGGAAGAAGGCCUCUAAGGUGCCUUGCCCUCUAGGAGUCGGCUGAGGCAGAGACACGUAGGUUCCCAUCCUCGUUCGUCUUCUGAAAACGUGCUAGGACGUCCUGCCUUCCUCCCCACACGGAGAAUCCCUCGCAGGUCCCCUCUCCAGAGACGGACUGCUGCCAACAUUUGGCAAACUCAGGCGUUUCCCCUGCCUGCUUGAGGGCCACAAUAUUCGUAAGUGACUGCUACAUCUCAGUGCAAACUAUGCAAUGACUGUUAUGGCACACUCUGGACCAAGGACCAGAACAGACACC